CCCUUAGAUGUUCUGGGCCGCACGCGCGCUACACUGAACAUAUCAGCAUGUUAUUCCCUUCCUGAGAAGGACGGGUAAACCUCUGAGCCAUGUUCAUGGUAGGGAUUGGGGCUUGCAAUUAUUCCCCACGAACCAGGAAUUCCCAGUAGGCGCAAGUCAUAAGCUUGCGUCGAUUACGUCCCUGCCCUUUGUACACACCGCCCGUCGCUCCUACUGAUUGGGUGAUCCGGUGAGCUGUUCGGCCAUAGCAAUGUUUCUUGAGCAGGGCAAUGAAUGUUUCGCAAACCUUGCCACUUAGAGGAAGGAGAAGUCGUAACA
rnacentral:rRNA from 1 species